rnacentral:rRNA from 1 species
GACGAACGCUGGCGGCAUGCCUAAUACAUGCAAGUCGAGCGAACAGAUGAAGUGCUUGCACUUCUGACGUUAGCGGCGAACGGGUGAGUAACACGUAAGGAAUCUACCUAUAAGCGGGGGAUAACAUUCGGAAACGGGUGCUAAUACCGCAUAAUAUCUUCUUCCGCAUGGAAGAAGAUUGAAAGACGGCUCUGCUGUCACUUAUAUAUGACCUUGCGGUGCAUUAGUUAGUUGGUGGGGUAACGGCCUACCAAGACGAUGAUGCAUAGCCGACCUGAGAGGGUGAUCGGCCACAUUGGGAAUGAGACACGGCCCAAACUACUACGGGAGGCAGCAGUAGGGAAUCUUCCGCAAUGGGCGAAAGCCUGACGGAGCAAUGCCGCGUGAGUGAAGAAGGCCUUCGGGUCGUAAAACUCUGUUAUAAGAGAAGAACAAAUUGUAGAGUAACUGCUACAGUCUUGACGGUAUCUUAUCAGAAAGCCACGGCUAACUACGUGCCAGCCGCCGCCGUAA